CUUAACACAUGCAAGUCGAGGGGCAGCACAGGUAGCAAUACCGGGUGGCGACCGGCGCACGGGUGAGUAACGCGUAUGCAACUUGCCUAUCAGAGGGGGAUAACCCGGCGAAAGUCGGACUAAUACCGCAUGAAGCAGGGGCCCCGCAUGGGGAUAUUUGCUAAAGAUUCAUCGCUGAUAGAUAGGCAUGCGUUCCAUUAGGCAGUUGGCGGGGUAACGGCCCACCAAACCGACGAUGGAUAGGGGUUCUGAGAGGAAGGUCCCCCACAUUGGUACUGAGACACGGACCAAACUCCUACGGGAGGCAGCAGUGAGGAAUAUUGGUCAAUGGGCGCGAGCCUGAACCAGCCAAGUCGCGUGAGGGAUGAAGGUUCUAUGGAUCGUAAACCUCUUUUAUAAGGGAAUAAAGUGCGGGACGUGUCCCGUUUUGUAUGUACCUUAUGAAUAAGGAUCGGCUAACUCCGUGCCAGCAGCCGCGGUAAUACGGAGGAUCCGAGCGUUAUCCGGAUUUAUUGGGUUUAAAGGGUGCGUAGGCGGCCUUUUAAGUCAGCGGUGAAAGUCUGUGGCUCAACCAUAGAAUUGCCGUUGAAACUGGGGGGCUUGAGUAUGUUUGAGGCAGGCGGAAUGCGUGGUGUAGCGGUGAAAUGCAUAGAUAUCACGCAGAACCCCGAUUGCGAAGGCAGCCUGCCAAGCCAUUACUGACGCUGAUGCACGAAAGCGUGGGGAUCAAACAGGAUUAGAUACCCUGGUAGUCCACGCAGUAAACGAUGAUCACUAGCUGUUUGCGAUACACUGUAAGCGGCACAGCGAAAGCGUUAAGUGAUCCACCUGGGGAGUACGCCGGCAACGGUGAAACUCAAAGGAAUUGACGGGGGCCCGCACAAGCGGAGGAACAUGUGGUUUAAUUCGAUGAUACGCGAGGAACCUUACCCGGGUUUGAACGCAUUCGGACCGAGGUGGAAACACCUUUUCUAGCAAUAGCCGUUUGCGAGGUGCUGCAUGGUUGUCGUCAGCUCGUGCCGUGAGGUGUCGGCUUAAGUGCCAUAACGAGCGCAACCCUUGCCACUAGUUACUAACAGGUAAAGCUGAGGACUCUGGUGGGACUGCCAGCGUAGGCUGCGAGGAAGGCGGGGAUGACGUCAAAUCAGCACGGCCCUUACAUCCGGGGCGACACACGUGUUACAAUGGCGUGGACAAAGGGAAGCCACCUGGCGACAGGGAGCGAAUCCCCAAACCACGUCUCAGUUCGGAUCGGAGUCUGCAACCCGACUCCGUGAAGCUGGAUUCGCUAGUAAUCGCGCAUCAGCCAUGGCGCGGUGAAUACGUUCCCGGGCCUUGUACACACCGCCCGUCAAGCCAUGGGAGCCGGGGGUACCUGAAGUCCGUAACCGCGAGGAUCGGCCUAGGGUAAAACUGGUGACUGGGGCUAA
rnacentral:rRNA from 1 species